UGACAUUAAAGGCAGGUACAUCAAGUUCACUAAAAUUACUGUGUAGUAAUCCUGUUAAGCAGUUGGCCUAAUCCCACAAAACUCUAAUGGAGUUUGUCAACUCUGUAUGGGAUUACGUGUGUGUGUGUGUGUGUGUGUGUGUGUGUGUGUGUGUGUGUGUGUGUGUGUGUGUGUGUGUGUGUUUCUUUGGGACACUGUUGUAUAGACCUGUUUGUGAUUUGUUCUCUCUGGUUUUUGCGAGACUAAGAGGGAGUGCACUUGCAGACGGAUCAAUAAUAAUAUCAGCCAUACAUUCACACUUCUAAUUCAGUGUAUUCUCAUUGUGCUGCUGAGAAUGAUGUCCAAGAAGCAAAGCAGGCAGAAUGAGACCCUGGUAAACACAAAGACCAACAUACCUGCACAGAAGAAAGGGGGGAAGGACCUGGCAGCACUCACAGUGCCUGUAUGUACUGGUGGUAAACAGGCGGGCAGCAGUGUGCCUAAGCCCAGUGGUAGGAGCAACAGCCUCAGUAGCAGAGGAAGUGACUCGACUGCUAGUGGCAGUAAAGUUGGUGGCAGUUUGAAAACAGGCAGCCUCAGCCACCGAGGCAGCCUUGGCCACCAGGGUACCAGACAAACAUCUCACCCAGGGAGACCAGCUUUCCGCCUCUGCAGCAGUCGGAGUUUCUCGUCCCUCAACACCUCCUCUUUCACUGCUGCUCCGUUCAUCAGGAGCAGCCGUUCUCUCAGCAGACUUGACCAAAGAUCUGUUGGACAAGAUUCAGAUCAGGCAGCUCCGAGCUCACAAGUUAAGAAAGGACAAACCUCAGAGAAGAAAGUCCUGGAUUCUAGAUGUCUGUCGUCCUCUGAGGAACAAAUCAGGGAUAACAAAGACCAGUGUCAUGGUGGUGAUGUGGACAAAAUGAAAACAAGCAGCUCCUCUGAGCCACCGGAGUCUUCCUCCUCUUUAGUUUCCACCAGUGCAUGUCUUCAUCACGGCAACAAAGUAAAGGAACAGACCAGAGAUGGUGUGCACACACUGUGUGCGAUGACCUCUGGGAUGAAACGCAACUGGGUCCAAGCAGUGUUGAAGAAUGUGAGACCCAGUCUUACACCUGAUGUCGGAAGCUCCCUUUCACAGCAGAAGGAAUCAGCAGAUUCAGAGUCGGCUGAGGUCGGUGACAGGGCAGAGGACUCACAUCAACAGCAGAGAGAACAUGAGUCGAGACCGCAGAUGGAAAAAGAGCAGAGAUCUGCUGAUGGAAACUCUGCUCUGUCUCCCAUCAGUCCUCUGCACCAGGUGGAGGAAGGCGACAGUGCUUCCUGUCAUCAGCGUCCGCUUCUUGUUGCAACCACACAAACUGGUGUGAUGAAUGCAUCAUCGUGUGCUGAAGGAGCUGGAAGUCACAGCUCUACCUCCACAGCGGUGCCGUCAAGUGAGGAACAUUCAAACAUGGGGAGUGAAAUCGAGCAGAAUUGUCAGGAACUUAAAACCACACCCCAGAGUGAGGAGCAGCAAGUAUCAAUAAACACCCGUGAGUGCACGAAAGACAAGGAAACACCGUUGUGUGAGCAGCAAACUGGACAACUUGUCAAAGAGCUGGAACAAACACAGAAGGAACUGUCUCGACUCCAGCAGCUAAACAGGAAUCUGCAGGAUGAACUACAACAUGAGAGAGAGAGUCAUUCAGGAGAAAGGGUUCGUCCACAGAAGGAUCGUCUUUCAAACUCUUCGGAUCAAGCUUUGGCUUUACAGCGACUGCAGAAGAUAAACCAUGACCUCCGCAUUGAGCUGGAGGCACAGAGGAGGAGUCAGGAGGAGGCCAGAGAAGCUGAACUACGACGAAGAGUAGAUCUCUUAGCACAGCAAGCUCAGUUACUGGUCACAGGCGAUGCCACAGCGCUCGCACAAGCUCAUCUGGAGCAAGACCGACGGCGGUUUCAUGAGCAGCAGAUGGAGUUGGAGCAUUGUGUGUCCUCCCUGAAGUCUCAGCUCAGCACCAGUGAGGAGCAGAGGAAGGAGGCUGAGUCCCGCUUGACGCAGCUGCAGCAGGAGUUGCAGAGUUAUCACAGUAUCCAGCAGGAGGCCGAUCGCUUGCAGAAACAUCUCCACGAGGUGAAAACUCAACUUUGUGCAAACGAGGACGCACAGGCCCAAAAAGAGGCUCGCCUGCAGAAACACCUCCUGCUCCUUCAAGCAAGUCAGGACAGAGAACGGAGGAGCUUGGCUGCCAGUCUGGCCCAGGCUGAGCAACGCUCACAAGACCUUCAGGAGAGACUGGACAGGGCUGAGCAGCAGGUAGAGAGCCUGAAUAAGACUCAGACCUGGUCCAGGGAAAUUGAAGAGGCUCAACAGCAGCUUCAAGAGGAGCUAGCACGAACAAUAUCUGCUGUAGAGAAACUUCAAGAAGAAAGAGAGCAGCUGGACCGCCGCUGUCAAGAGCUGCAGAACCAGUUAUCGGAGGCGGACGGCGAGGUGAGCAGGCUGCAGAGCCGCUUGAAAACAGAAGAGACACACUACUACAAUCUUGAGCACUCAUACGAGAGCGUUUGUGAGGAACUGCAGAUGGCUUUGGGGAAGGUGCAGCAAAAGGAGACUGAAACACAGGAGAUACGAGAAGGCUACGAGAGACUCCUCGACAGGAAGGAGCAAGAGCUGAGUGAAGUUUUGUUGAAGAUGGAGGUCUUGGGUAAUAGCUUGGAGGAGACGGAAGUGAAGCUGAAUGAAAUGCUGAAAGUUUGCAACUGUGCCUCUUCUCAGCUGAGGGUUGAGUCAUCAGAGCCCGCUCAGCAUAAUGACAGACAACAGCAGACAACUGAGCCUUUCACCGUAAACGACAGCAGUUCAAAGGCAAGAGACAGUGGCCAGUUGUCCAACAGCCCAAAUACCAUAGAUGCUGUCGAGGUAAAUGGCAACCACCCUCAUGAACAUGCAAGGAACAGGUCUCGCUCGAUUGACCUGUCGUACCAGUACAUUGUCACUGCGGGAGACGAUCCAGAAAGGUUUAUGUCUGUGAUCCAGUUACUUGAGACUAAGCUUUACGUGACAGAGGAGAAGCUAAGAGACAUCACGCAAAGACUGGAGGAACACGAGAGCCACAUUAGCUGCCAGGACCCCCACCUUUGCUCCCAGCUGACUCAGAGCCGAGCCACCACCCAGCACCUCAGUCUGCUGCUUCACAGUCAGGCCAAGCAGAGCCAGCGCUUCGCCCAGGAGACAGAGAGCCGCUGCAGGAUGUUGGCUGGCAGGUUCCAGGUUGCUCUGAACAUCAUACAAGCCUGCAGGGAGAGGCUUCAAGCCACUCCCGUUAAUAUCGCACACUUUGAGAAGCAACUUGCCAGCGUUGCCGCCUGUCUUCAGCAAGGACAGAGAGGUGCAGAGAAGCAACAGCAUGAAGCACAUAAUGCCAGCAAAGGAGAGGACAAAAUCCUCAAUGACGAGCCAUUAGCUGGAGCUGAUAGCAGCGUUUGUGCUAAAAGUAAACUCACUAAUACGUUACCCUCAGAGGAUGACAUGGCAAGUGUAAGGAUGUGUUUAAUGAGGGAACUUUUUGUAGUAGAAAAAAUGCUCUCCGUCCUUCAGAGUCAACGCGGCAUUGGCCAACUCUCCCUAGUACCAAGAGAAGAUGAAGGGGAUGUUGCACACAGGUACAAAAGCAUAAUCUCCCAAAGAAUAGCCUUAAAAACAGAGAGAAGGACUCUGUGUGGGAAAGCAGAAUGUGACAGUGAUGCACCUUUGGAAGGCGCCAUCGGUAGAGUCUGCGCUGAAGCUGAGCUCAUUUACGCUGCCUUAAAAUUUCAGCAGCAAUAUGAAGAGGAGCAGAAAAAGAAGGGUCUGGCAGAUAUCAAUCCCCCAGAGUUGGCUCCUUAUGAGGAGCAAGUGAAGGCAGAGGGCAGAGGUGUAGAUGAAGCCACAAAACCCGUUGAAGAAGACGAGACUGAUGACAACAAGAUGGAGGCCGAGAAAGAACCGGAAUGGUUAGAAAGACUUAUAUCUCGGCUGCAAAGAAGGGUCAAGUUCUUAAACCAGCUCUGCCAGGAGAUCUCUGAUGGACCAGUCAGUGAGUGCAGUGUGGACUGUAGCAGGGAAAAUAAUUCAGCAGUAGACAUGAAGUGGAUGCAGGAGCAGGCAAAGUUGAUUUAUUUGUCAAACAGGUUGCACUUGGAUUUAGAGCAGGAGUUGCAGCAAAGCGAGAUGUUACAGAACAAACUACAGGCUUUGUGCAAAGAACAAGAAAUCAAUUUAAUGGAUGAGCAGGAGGUCUUUAAUCACACCUUAUGUCAGCUUCAGGAGGACAACAGCGUGUUAAGACAAGAACUAGAGCGUGCUGAGCAAAAGAUAAUAUCUGCAGACGCUGAGAACCAGAGGCUCCUGGAAGACAUACAGAAAAUUGAGGAUUAUCAUGAGGAACGGAGGCAAAAACUAGAGACAAAGUUUCAAGAGAAGAUAAGAGAACUACAGCAGAUCCAUGAAGGGGAGAUGAAACACUUGCAUGGUUACUACACCAAAGAGAAACAGACCAAAACCUGCACAGAGGCACCUGCUUCCACUGACAGUACGUCCUCCACCGCACGAGACCAGGCUGUGGUGGAGAGAAGUGGUGAUGAAGCGGCAGUGAGGGAGGCUUACCACAACGAUCGUGAAAAAUUCGAGGAUCAUGGUUUCAGUGCUAUGGAGGACAUGCACAGGAAGCUGAUAGGAGAUCUACAGCAGCAGCAUCAGACGGAGGUGGCCGCACUUCUGAAGGAGAAAGACCAGCUGCUGCAGAAAGAGACGGCCGCCACAGUAGCAGCAAUUGUAGCAAUGAGGAGAACCCACAGACAGGAGCUGGAGAAAAGCAGACAGUCUCAGCACAUCAGGGAGGGUGCUGACAUCACACAACUGCACAUGGAGUAUGAGAAGGAGAUCCAGUUAUUGCACAAGGAGCUGGAGGUGCUGUCGGUUCAGCACACUCAGAAAUGCCUGGAAAACUCUCAUCUGAGCCAGGAGCUGCAGGAUGAAAGGACAUCUUUGAUGCAGUACCAAAAAGAAAACCAGGAGCUGAAAAAGACGCAGAGAGAGACAGAUGAAAUGUCUCAGCUACACUUCUCGCUAAACGGGAACCAGUCACAUGUGGCUGCACAAACAAAUGACUUCUAUGAGAUGGAAGUGAUUCUGAGGGCGAGGGAGGCAGAAAUGCAGUUUCUCAGACAGGAGGCUCGUUCCCUCAGGGAGGAGUUGAAGAUUGCUCGAAUGGACAAAAUAUAUGCCCAGAACAAGCUGAAGACCCUCUAUAAGAACAGCCACGAUGAAUCCCAUCAUGAUGUCAACAAAAUCAGUGAAGGUUUCAAGUCCGCCACUUGGUCUCCAGGCAGAGAUGCUUCAGGACAGAACCUCAUUAACAAGAAGCCACAGCCAGCAGCCGAUAAGGAUAGGCGACUCCAUGACAAACACGAGUAGUGCUGCUUUUCUGAAGAAAACAGAGAAAUCCUCCCUCACGCGUCAGAUCAGAGGCGUGAGAUCAAAGAGUUUGAAAGAAGGCCUUUCUGUCCAAGAAAGAAUGAAGUUGUUUGAGUCUUUCUGAUCCGAAGAAGAUGUGACACAGUGACACUGCUGCUUGGUCAGUGCACUUUAAAGACAGAACUCUUUUUACUGUAUAAAAAGGUGUGUGUGUGUGUGUGUGUGUGUGUGUGUGUUAGAGAGAGAGAGAGAGAGAGAGAGAGAGAGAGAGAGAGAAGCAGCAUCAGGACACCACUAGAGGGAGCAACAAACACUGGCUUUUUUAGAUGAACAUUUCUAAAGGUUUGUCACUCUGCAACGUAACAGAGUCAUCACAACAAAAUUAUAUUCAUAUGUUCACAGUGCAUUGCACAGUGUAUAUAUAUAUAUAUACACACACACACUGCCUGUGUUUUCAUUAAAAGAUAACUCAUUGUGUUGCAUCAGUUGUAUAUUAACAUGUUGUACCACUAGAUGUAGCAAAAAACAUUUACUCUCGUUUCUGUUGCUGCAAACAAAAGCCCUCAUGGAGAUGUUUUAUGACCAAAAUAUAAAAUAAGGACUUUUAUUAAAAGAGUUUUAGGAAGGUUACUAAUUUUUUUUUUUUUAACAGUAAAUUAAAAAUAUUAGUCAUAAUGUAUGUAGGUUUUGUAUUCUGGCAUCUUUCAGUCAUGUAAACAGACAAUAAAGUAUUUGCAUAUUUGUAA